CUAAGUGCCUGGCAGGGUAGACACCAUGAUCAUGAAGAUGGUUUUCCCAGGGUGAGGUUCAUCCAUUGUAGUCCAGGUGUGCUGAUCCCUGCAAUUUCCCCAAAUGCGAGAAACUUGACUGCAUAAUUUGUCAAGGAGAGCAAAUCCCCGUUAAUAGCAGUGGCUGCUGC